GCAAGGGCUCUUAAGAUAUGACCCGGCAGAGCGGCUCAAAGCCAGGGAAGCUUUAAGACAUCCAUUCUUCACAAGAGAUCCAAGAAGAUGCGGCUAUCCUUUAUAAUGCCGUCCCUAAAAGUGAGGAGCACUGAGCAAUGGUAUAUAUAUAUAUAUAUAUAUAUAACAAAGAGAUGUCAUACUGUGAUUGAUGCGGUGACAUAAUUUUUUCAUGUCAAGUUUAACAUACAAUUGUUACCAUAUAGUGAAGUGUAUUCUCUUCCUGCCACGUCCAUUUUCCCCCCUUUCGUGGGUUUUUUCUUUUCUACGGCCUUCCUAAUUGACGUGUAUACCCAUAAUUUCCGGUUUGUCUUGUGAUGAUGAUCAAGUAAACAAAAACAAAAAAUGUUACAGCGUGUGUAAGAUGGAUGACUUAUUUUUUCGUAUUGUAUUUUCCUUGAGACAAACAAAUAGUUUCCAUUCGGUUUCUGCAACAAAGAGGGGAAAGGAAAUGCAGUUGGUCAAGUCAAAUUCAGAGCUGCCCUAGUGUUCUUUUCAUCUGCUUAAAUCCUUGGAGAUAAAAAUUUAUUAGAUUUGAGAUAGGAUUUUCGCAUUAGUUUGGUUUAAAGAAUAAUAUUUAUUAUUAACCGAUUAAUUCAGUUUUGAAAUUUUCACUUGUUGGAUAGAAUUUUGGCAAUAAUCUGUUUAUUACUUAAAAAUCGAACCAAAUAAUUCAGUUUUUCAAACCGAAUGGAAGAGUAGUAGAUUGACCAAAUAUCUGAUUUUGCGGGUUGGGAUGAUGCCAUCUCCUAAGAACAGGAAUCAGCCGUGAUACAACAGCAAACCUGUCACUAUCAAUUUCUAGCUGUAAUUUGCAUGUACAGAUGCUUAUCUCUUAUCUGUAAUGCAUUCAGAAUAUGCAAAGAUUCCAAAUUAAAACUUGGUUAAUCUAGAGAAAAGCAU
rnacentral:lncRNA from 1 species